rnacentral:pre_miRNA from 1 species
AUUAUCCAAAGUUGUCGUCGUUGUUGAUUCCUUGGAGAUUGAAUUUGAGAUAUUCAACGAAAUUCGAUCUCCAAAGAAUCCACAACAAUGAAAACUUUGUUGAUCAU